GAGUGUAUAGCUCAAGCGGCAGAGCGCAUGAUUAGCAUGCACGAGGUCCUGGGUUCAAUCCCCAGUACCUCCU
rfam:Camelus ferus unplaced genomic scaffold scaffold660, whole genome shotgun sequence.